rnacentral:lncRNA from 1 species
CCAACAUUAACUGUUCGGCCCCGUUUGAACAAUGGGGAGUUGACAUCCUCGGCCCCUUUCCUGUGGCAAGAGGUCAAUUAAAGUUUGUUGCUGUAGCAGUAGAGUACUUCACAAAAUGGGUAGAGGCCGAACCUCUCGCCACAAUAUCGGAGCCCAAGCUAAGAGCCUUCACUUGGAGGUCUAUCAUUUGCAGGUUUGGGAUACCAAAGGUCCUCAUCACCGACAAUGGCAGGCAAUUUGACAACCAACAGUUUAGAAACUUUUGCUCAAACCUUGGGAUUGAUCACCGUCUGACAUCAGUUUCGCAUCCUCAGAGCAACGGUCUGGCCGAGGUAACAAAUCGAAUCAUAUUGCAGGACCUCCGAACAAGAAUAAGCGAUGCUAGGGGUUCUUGGUCCGACGAGUUGCCUUCUAUACUUUGGACGUACAGAACAACUCAUAGGACAACCACAGGAGAAACCCCUUUUAUGUUAGCCUAUGGCGUUGAAGCAAUGGUCCCAGUGGAAAUUAGACUGCCAAGCCACAGGAGGCUCGUGCCAGAAACCUCGGAGCAUACAACUGAACAUCUUGAUCUCUUGGAAGAAGUGCGGGAGCAAGCCGCUAUAAAAGUGGCCUCUUACCAAACUAGGACAGCAAAAUAUUUUAAUAGCAAAGUCAUGGCUCGGAGGUUCAGAGCUGGCGAUUUGGUCUUGAGGAGGGCCGAAGCAGCAGGCCACCCCCCAGGGAAGCUCGGG